CACUAGAUCACCGCGGCGGGGCCGGCAGCAGUGAUUGAGUGCGUGCUAGUUAAUGAUGAUGAUAAUUUCCCAUCUGUCUCACACGGCAAACAUCAACCAUAACAGGGACCUUGUGCGCUUCCAUUUCUCACCUUUACCAGCUGGGAAUCGCCAUUGCGUACAGUAAUGUGCAAUGAAUCGCUGCACAAAAAUGGUAUGGGAAACGUUACUACUGCUCUUUCCAAAAACACUGCUGUGCAUCUAAAAACACUGGAUGUUUGAUAUUCCGAUGCUAGACAAUUUUUUUGAGGAGAACUGCAUAUAUAAACUAAUCUUGAAACAAUGCCACUAUGUUCCAAGUUGACUUGUGUGCAGUCCGUUUGCUAUAUUAUCUGUUCGAUGCUAAUUUGCUCUUAAACUGUAUAUUUGCUCAAUAUUUUUGGCUAUUAAUGGCAAAUAAAAGAGAAAUCCUCCAAACAU